rnacentral:rRNA from 1 species
CUUGACACUGAACAUUGAGCCUUGAUGUGUAGGAUAGGUGGGAGGCUUUGAAGUGUGGACGCCAGUCUGCAUGGAGCCAACCUUGAAAUACCACCCUUUAACGUUUGAUGUUCUAACCUAGGCCCAUAAACUGGGUCGGGGACCGUGUCUGGUGGGUAGUUUGACUGGGGCGGUCUCCUCCUAAAGAGUAACGGAGGAGCACGAAGGUUGGCUAAGCAUGGUCGGACAUCAUGCGGUUAGUGCAAAGGCAUAAGC